rnacentral:rRNA from 1 species
UUCAUGGAGAGUUUGAUCCUGGCUCAGGACGAACGCUGGCGGCGUGCCUAAUACAUGCAAGUCGAGCGAACCGGCGGGAGCU